rnacentral:rRNA from 1 species
AUUGAACGCUGGCGGCAGGCCUAACACAUGCAAGUCGAGCGGAUGAGAAGAGCUUGCUCUUCGAAUCAGCGGCGGACGGGUGAGUAAUGCCUAGGAAUCUGCCUGGUAGUGGGGGACAACGUUUCGAAAGGAACGCUAAUACCGCAUACGUCCUACGGGAGAAAGCAGGGGACCUUCGGGCCUUGCGCUAUCAGAUGAGCCUAGGUCGGAUUAGCUAGUUGGUGAGGUAAUGGCUCACCAAGGCGACGAUCCGUAACUGGUCUGAGAGGAUGAUCAGUCACACUGGAACUGAGACACGGUCCAGACUCCUACGGGAGGCAGCAGUGGGGAAUAUUGGACAAUGGGCGAAAGCCUGAUCCAGCCAUGCCGCGUGUGUGAAGAAGGUCUUCGGAUUGUAAAGCACUUUAAGUUGGGAGGAAGGGCAGUAAGCUAAUACCUUGCUGUUUUGACGUUACCGACAAAGUAAGCACCGGCUAACUCUGUGCCAGCAGCCGCCGUAAAAC